UUACCUAGAAUUCCUCGGCCAGAAGACUCAUCGUUUUGUCUUGUGUUUAGUUAAUUUUCUCUUACAAUUGCGCAAACUCAGGCCAUAUAACAAUCAUAAAUAGCCCCGUAGAGCCAACAAGCAAGAAUUCGUUCUGGAAGGAAAAUCUAAUUUAAAGUGCAGUUAACCUGCUUAUGUGUGACGUAUUAAAGGUUCAUUGAUAGGAUUGAUAAUUUUGCUAGUCAGACGCCAUCUAUUUGACAUAAAAUUAUGCGCUACUUACUAUUGGGACUACUACUUUUGGCGGAUGCCUUGUUGGCAAUUCCUUACUUGACCGAUGAAGACACGUUGGAGGACUACAGUAAUAACUUAGCUCGGUUUCUUUUCUACACCAGAAAACGUGGCUGUGUUCGUAGAGGGGGAAGCUGUGACCACAGACCUAACGAGUGUUGCUACAACUCAUCGUGCCGUUGCAAUCUGUGGGGGACAAACUGUCGGUGCUCCAGGAUGGGUCUUUUCCAGAGAUGGGG